rnacentral:rRNA from 1 species
AACGAACGCUGGCGGCAGGCUUAACACAUGCAAGUCGAACGAUGUAGCAAUACAUAGUGGCGCACGGGUGAGUAACGCGUGGGAAUAUACCUUAUAGUGGGGAAUAACGUUGGGAAACUAACGCUAAUAACGCAUACGCCCGAGAGGGGAAAGAUUUAUCGCUAUAGGAUUAGCCCGCGUGAGAUUAGGUAGUUGGUGGGGUAAUGGCCUACCAAGCCUACGAUCUCUAGCUGGUCUGAGAGGAUGAUCAGCCACACUGGAACUGAGACACGGUCCAGACUCCUACGGGAGGCAGCAGUGGGGAAUAUUGGGCAAUGGAGGAAACUCUGACCCAGCCAUGCCGCGUGAAUGAUGAAGGCCUUAGGGUUGUAAAGUUCUUUCGCCGAUGAAGAUAAUGACGGUAGUCGGAGAAGAAGCCCCGGCUAACUUCGUGCCAGCCGCCGCAGUAA